CAAUUCCGGUUGAUCCUGCCGGACCCGACUGCUAUUUGGGUGAGGAUAAGCCAUGCGAGUUGAAUGGGAUACCUAAACUUCCCAUAGCAAACUGCUUAGUAACACAUGAUCAACUUGCCCUAUGGAGAAAAAUAACCUCGGGAAAGUAUCGCAGUGAAAAUACAGACCACUAUGAUACCCCGAAACUGAGGAUAAUAUUUCAUAGUUGAAAAGGCUUGGAAAAGUUUUUCAAUGAAAGGGAUAAGAUAAAUGGAUCUUAUUUGCCAUAGGAUAGGAUCGUGGUCGAUUAUGGUAGUUGGUGAGAUAACGGCUCACCAAGCCGAUAAUCGAUAGGGGCCGUGAGAGCGGGAGCCCCAAGAUGGGUACUGAGACAGCGACCCAGGCCUUACGAGGCGCAGCAGGCGCGAAACCUCCGCAAUACACGAAAGUGUGACGGGGUUACCCAAAGUGUUCUCUUUAGAACUGUGGUAGGUGAGUAAUGUCCCCUGCUAGAAAGGAGAGGGCAAGGCUGGUGCCAGCCGCCGCGGUAAAACCAGCUCUUCAAGUGGUCGGGAUAAUUAUUGGGCUUAAAGUGUCCGUAGCCGGUUUAGU
rnacentral:rRNA from 1 species